UACGGGGGGAGCAAGCGUUGUUCGGAUUUACUGGGCGUAAAGGGCGCGUAGGCGGUAGCACAAGUCAGUUGUGAAAUCUCCGGGCUUAACUCGGAAAGGUCAACUGAUACUGUGCGACUAGAGUGCAGAAGGGGCAACUGGAAUUCUCGGUGUAGCGGUGAAAUGCGUAGAUAUCGAGAGGAACACCUGCGGCGAAGGCGGGUUGCUGGGCUGACACUGACGCUGAGGCGCGAAAGCCAGGGGGGCGAACGGG
rnacentral:rRNA from 1 species